rnacentral:rRNA from 1 species
GAUCAUGGCUCAGGAUGAAUGCUGGCGGCAUGCCUAAUACAUGCAAGUCGAGCGGUAACAGGACUAGCUUGCUAGUGCUGACGAGCGGCGGACGGCUGAGUAACGCAUGGGAACGCACCCCAAACUGAGGGAUAACUAGUCGAAAGAUUAGCUAAUACCGCAUGUGAUCUUCGGAUUAAAGCCUUCGGGCGGUUUGGGAGCGGCCUGUGUACGAUUAGCUAGUUGGUGAGGUAAUGGCUCACCAAGGCGACGAUCGUUAGAUGGUUUGAGAGGAUGAUCAUCCAGACUGGAACUGAGACACGGUCCAGACUCCUACGGGAGGCAGCAGUAGGGAAUCUUUCACAAUGGGCGAAAGCCUGAUGGAAGCAAUGCCGCGUGCAGGACGAAGGCCUUCGGGUUGUAAACUGCUUUUAUAAGCGAGGAAUAUGACGGUAACUUAUGAAUAAGGAUCGGCUAACUACGUGCCAGCAGCUGC